UAGGGUUAAGGGUUGGGGUAGGGUUAGUGGUUGAGGUAGAGGUAGGGUUAGGGAUAGGGUUGGUUUAUGGGUAGGGUUAGAGGUAGGGUUAGGGUUGGUUUAGGGUUAGGGUUAACCCUACCCCAAACCCUAACCCUACUCCUAAACCUAACCCUACUCCAACCACUAACCCUACCACUAAACCCUACCUCAACCACUAACCCUACCCCAACCCUUAACCCUACCCCUAACCCUACCUCUACCUUAACCACUAACCCCUAACACCAACUCUUUAAUGUUUUGCCACUUUUUA